GUCUUCUUGUUUAUUUAGGAAGUCUGGCCUGCCCAGUGAUUAGUGGAAUUUAACGGCCGCGGUAUAUUGACCGUGCAAAGGUAGCAUAAUCAUUAGCCUUUUAAUAGGAGGCUGGAAUGAAGGGUUAGACGAAACAUUUUCUGUCUCAUUUUGAUAAUUUAGAAUUUAACUUUUGAGUUAAAAGGCUCAAAUUUUUUUGGAAGACGAGAAGACCCUAUAGAGCUUUAUAGCCUUUUUUGUAAUUUGGGUUUGGAUUAAAUACUUUAUUUUAUAUUUUGUGGUUUUUUUGUUGGGGUGACAGUAAAUAUAAGGUUAACUUUUACAUUAUUUUGUUCAUUUAUUUAUGUUUAUUAGAUCCUUUAAUAUAGAUUUUUAGAUUAAGUUACCUUAGGGAUAACAGCGUAAUCUUCCUUUAGAGUUCUAAUUCACAGGAAGGCUUGCGACCUCGAUGUUGGAUUAAGAUAAUCAUUUGGUGCAGUGGCUUUAUGGAUAGGUCUGUUCGACCUUUAAAUUCUUACAUGAUCUGAGUUCAGACCGG
rnacentral:rRNA from 1 species